rnacentral:rRNA from 1 species
GUGGGGAAUCUUGCGCAAUGGGGGAAACCCUGACGCAGCGACGCCGCGUGGAGGAUGAAGGUCUUCGGGUUGUAAACUCCUUUUCUUGGGGAAAAUGGUGAUGGUACCCAAGGAAUAAGCCACGGCUAACUCUGUGCCAGCAGCCGCGGUAAGACAGAGGUGGCGAGCGUUGUUCGGAAUUACUGGGCUUAAAGGGCGAGUAGGCGUCCCGGUAAGUCAGAUGUGGAAUCUUUUCGCUUAACGAAAAAAUUGCAUCUGAAACUAUCGGGAUUGAGUCAGUGAGGGGAGGGCGGAAUUCCUGGUGUAGCGGUGAAAUGCGUAGAUAUCAGGAGGAAGGCCUGUGGCGAAGGCGGCCCUCUGGCACUGUACUGACGCUGAGGCGCGAAAGCGUGGGGAGCAAACAGGAUUAGAUACCCCAGUAGUCC